UCAUCGGCCUCAGAUUGGUAGGACUACCCGCUGAACUUAAGCAUAUCAAUAGGCCGGAGGAAA
rnacentral:rRNA from 1 species